UAUGCCCCCCUUCGAAGAAGAGGGGGUAUAUUGCUUUGCUCAUGUCGGUCUGUCGGUAGGUCGGUCUGUCGGUCGGUCCGUCCACCAGGUGGUUGUCAGACGAUAACUCAAGAACGCUUGGGCCUAGGAUCAUGAAACUUCAUAGGUACAUUGAUCAUGACACGUAGAUGACCCCUAUUGAUUUUGAGGUCACUAGGUCAAAGGUCAAGGUCACAGUGACCAGAAAUAGUAAAAUGGUUUUUGAAUGAUAACUCAAGAACGCAUACGCCUAGGAUCAUGAAACUUCAUGGGUAGAUUGAUCAUGACUUGCAGAUGACCCCUAUUGAUUUUGAGGUCACUAGGUCAAAGGUCAAGGUCAUGGUGACCCGAAAUAGUAAAAUGGUUUCCGGAUGAUAACUCAAGAACGCUUAUGCCUAGGAUCAUGAAACUUCAUUGAUACAUUGAUCAUGACUCGCAGAUGACCCCUAUUGAUUUUCAGGUCACUAGGUCAAAGGUCAAGGUCACGGUGAUCCGAAAUAGUAAAAUGGUUUCCUGAUGAUAACUCAAGAACGCUUAUGCCUAGGAUCAUGAAACUUCAUAGGUACAUUGAUCAUGACUCGCAGAUGACCCCUAUUGAUUUUCAGGUCACUAGGUCAAAGGCCAAGGUCAUGGUGACGAAAUAGUUAAAUAGUUUCCUGAUGAUAACUCAAGAACGCUUAUGCCUAGGAUCAUGAAACUUAAUCAUAGGUACAUUGAUCAUGACUAGCAGAUGACCCCUAUUGAUUUUGAGGUCACUAAGUCAAAGGUCAAGGUCACAGUGACCCGAAAUAGUAAAAUGGUUUCCGGAUGAUAACUCAAGAACGCUUUUGCCUAGGAUUAUGAAACUUCAUAGGAACAUUGAUCAUGACUCGCAGAUGACCCCUAAUGAUUUUCAGGUCACUCGGUCAAAGGCCAAGGUCACGGUGACCUGAAACAGUAAAAUGGUUUCAGAUUAUAACUCAAGAACGCUUAUGCCUAGGAUCAUGAAAUUUCAUAGGUACAUUGAUCAUGACUCGCAGAUGACCCCUAAUGACUUUCAGGUCACAAGGUCAAAGGUCACGGUGACUUGACACAGUAAAAUGGUUUCCGGAUGAUAACACAAGAAAGCUUAUGCCUAGGAUCAUGAAACUUCAUAGGUACAUUGAUCAUGACUCGCAGAUGACCCCUAUUGAUUUUCAGGUCACUAGGUUAAAGGUCAAGAUCACAGUGCCAAAAAACGUAUUCACACAAUGGCUGCCACUACAACUGACAGCCCAUAUGGUGGGCAUGCAUGUUUUACAAACAGCCCUUGUUAAAAACUGCACCUGCAGUCAAGCGUUGGCACCUGUUAUGCGGUGCUCUUGUUAAUAAAAACAAUUGUACAUGUAUUGACACUAUUGUGUAUUGUGUUUUUGUGUGUGUGUGUGUGUUAUUACCAGAAGUUUUCAGACUGUAAUACAUGUAUAGCAUUUAAGGCCAAGCUGGUGAAUCUAAUAUCAUUAGAAACUUCUCCUGCUCCUUAUUCAUCCAUGGGAAUGUUAAAUGACAUUCCACUGGGACUAUUAUUAAUUGUUAACAUUCAUUUUUAUACGCCCGUCUAUGACGGGACGUAUUAUGGUAUACCCCGCGUCCGUCCGUCUGUCCGUCCGUCUGUCCGUCCGUCUGUCCGUCCGUCUGUCCGUCCGUCUGUCCGUCCGUCCGUCCGUCUGUUAAUGUCGUACGCUACGUCAAAUAUCCUUUGACAGAUUUUCUUCAAAUUUUAACACAAUCUUAAUAUUGAUAAACCCUGAUCCCCUUUCGUUUUUGACGGAAUUCUGAAUUGUCGUUCCAGAGUUAUGGGACUUUGUUCGUCAAAAUUUCGUGAUUUCAUUGAAUGUCCUACUGUAGCUCAAAUAUCCUUCGAUGGAUUUUUUUCAAAUUUCAACACAAUCUUAAUAUUGAUAAACCCUGAUCCCCUUUCGUUUUUGACGGAAUUCUGAAUUGUCGUUCCAGAGUUAUGGGACUUUGUUCGUCAAAAUUUCGUGAUUUCAUUGAAUGUCCUACCGUAGCUCAAAUAUCCUUCGAUGGAUUUUUUUCAAAUUUUAACACAAUCUUAAUAUUCAUAAACCCUGAUCCCCUUUCAUUUUUGACGGAAUUCUGAAUUGUCGUUCCAGAGUUAUGCGACUUUGUUCGUCAAAAUUUCGUGAUUUCAUUAAAUAAACUGAAGUAAAAAAAUGAUUCAAAGGGUUAUUUAUUACCUUACUACUUCAUUGGCGAACGACGGGCGUAUCAUGCGCUCAUGGCGCAGCAGUUUAUUAACAUUUGUGCUAUGAUACGAGUGCCAUUAGUGAUGUGUUGUAGUGUGUGUGUGAUACCUCUCAAUAUGUCGGCCAUUGUUCACCAACUAUAUUUUCAGACCUGAGAUGCUCUGAUAACUUUAAUUAUGACCUUAAGACUGUUGGGUAAUGUAUUUUAUUUUUUAAGCCUUAACUGUUUUCAAACCUUUUUUCUGUAUAUUAUAAUUAAGGCCAAUAAUAUUUGUCAUGACAUCAGGAAAAUUGAUAUAAAUAUUUUUUGAUAAAUAAAGUAUUGUUUCAUUGGUCAAGGUCUUUUAUGAUGAAACCUAAAACUGGUAUGUUAAGUGUAUGAAACAACUGUAGAAUUCAUACUCUGGAACUUCAUGUCAUGUUGAUGACCAAAGGCCUUUGGUAUUUCAAUUUGUUAAUGAAAUAGUUAUGUUGCUUCACGAUUUAGCAAUAUUUAGCCUGUGUAAGUGUAAAAUUCUGUAAAUAAUGAAUUCUGCUAAAAUCGUGUAGUAUUUUCCUACAAAAUGUCUCAUGAAAAUACCAGGGGGUUUUAAGUUUAAAAUUAACCUUUGCAAUGAUUGUUUUAUAUAAAAUAUAAGACAUACAGACUGCAUAAUUUAUAACUUGUUUCAUUAAAUAAUAAUGUGUCUGCAAGUGGUUUGAAAGGUCUAGGUCUAGAGAUGUGUUUGUGCAUUGAUGUUCAGCUUUGUGUAUAUAAUAAUCAUUUCUGUACUACAUGUCAAUGUGUAGUUUGCUUCAAUCUCUGUUACUGGUAGUUAUAAAAGCUGCUGCAGCUGAGUCUGUUGUGUACAGAUUGUUAAAUAUAUUUUAUUAGUAUAUGCUUGUUACACAUGUUCAUGUUACUGAGACAUUUAAAUUAUCUGUUCUGCCAUUAUAUAAAGCCUUGCUUUGAGCAAAGAGGGUUUAAUGCAUGUGUGCAUGUUUGUCAAUUUCAUUCCAGAUUUGCGUGUGCAGUCCCCACAGGCUUAUCAGAAACUUCUCUGAUGAGCCUGUGCAGACUUCGUAGGCUAAUCUGGGAUGUCAAUGUACCCACUUGCAUUAAACCCUGUUUUCCCAUAUUGAGGGUCAUACAGAGAUAUUGUUUUAGAGUUGCUCAAUCACUCGUCAUUCUUCAACAGUAGUCGUUAUUAAUUAAACAUUGGUAUUGUACAUGUUAAA